CAGCAAUGAAGACCCAACACAGCCAUAAAUAGAUAGGACUGAUCUGAGGAAUCCUGUUUACUCAGUCCCAAACAGAGAAGUCACUGCUGAGGGCAAGAGACAGCAAAAGCCACCAAGCAGCGAUGGACAUGCUGGUGCUGGCUCCAUUUUGCCUACUGAGGUCAUCACUCUCCAGUGGGUCUUCACGUGGUAGACCCUGACCACUGCAGGUUUCCAUCACCCUCACAUGAGUGCUUCCAAUGGAAAGAG